rnacentral:tRNA from 1 species
CGGGACGUAGCGCAGUUUGGUAGCGCGCAGCGUUCGGGACGCUGAGGUCGCGGGUUCAAAUCCCGCCGUCCCGACCG